GUGACUCAGACGUCCAAUGGGCACGCUGCAUUCGGGGGCUAUAUAGUUAGCGGAGGCAGCGUGCCAGGUCUUUCUGUGUGUGACUAUCUCUGCAGAUAAAACAUGUCUGACCCGGUACUUGGUACUAUGCACGCUCUCUAUGGCAUUUCAAAGGACCCUCCAUGAUCAGGGCAAAAAUAUUUGGUGUGAACACAUCAAUCUCAUAGACGCAUCUCUGCAUGGAGAUAUCUGGAAGGAAGACUGGAGUGUAAAUGCAACACCAUCUCUGCAUGGCGAUAUAGCUGGAAGACCGUGCUAAAACAUGUCUGACCAGAGACCUGGUACUUUGUACAAUGCAGCCUCUGCAUUACAAGGACCCUCCAUGAUCAGGGCAAAGAUUUGGUGUAAAUGCAUCAAUCUCAUAGACGAAUCUCUGCAUGGUGCGUUCUGGAAGACUGUAGUGUAAAUGCAACAUCCAUCUUGUAAACCAUUUCUGCAUGGCGCUAUACCUGGAAGACCGUGAUAAAACAUGUCUGACCAAAGACCUGGUACUUGGUACUAUACACCCUCUGCAUUACAGGGACCCUCCAUGAUCAGGGCAAAAAUAUUUGGUGUAAACGCAUCAAUCUCUGCAUGGUGAGAUCUGGAAGACUUCGUGUAACUGCAACAUCCAUCUCGCAAACCAUCUCUGCAUUGCAAUAUCUGGAAGACCGUGAUAAAACAUGUCUGACCAAAGACAUGGUACAUUGCAAUACAACAGAAGAUGCAUAGUACUAGGACCCUCCAUGAUCAGGGCAAAAAUAUUUGGAAAUUCAUCAAUCUCAUAGACCAUCUCUGCAUGGUGAUAUCUGGAAGACCGUGCUGGUCGUGGUUUGUAAAGAGGAGUUGAUUGGAGUCUGAUAUUAUGGAACUGAUUGCCGGAGCUAGAGACACAACGAAAGACUGUUAACCAGCUAAUCGCCUUGCUACUCCAAAGGCAGCCAUGUUAUAGGUGAACCUGGUUUGCUGGUCAGUUAAAUGGAACAAGUUGGCAAUGGAGGCUCUGCUCCAGCUGAGAAUUUUUUUUUUUUUUGUGGUCAUUUCAAUAAACAACUUUGGCAUUACAAGCA